GACGAACGCUGGCGGCGUGCCUAAUACAUGCAAGUAGAACGCUGAAGCGAGGAGCUUACUCUUCUUGGAUGAGUUGCGCACGGGUGAGUAACGCGUAGGUAACCUGCCUUGUAGCGGGGGAUAACUAUUGGAAACGAUAGCUAAUACCGCAUAACAAUGGAUGACACAUGUCAUUUAUUUGAAAGGGGCAAUUGCUCCACUACAAGAUGGAUCUGCGUUGUAUUAGCUUGGAGGUGAGGUAAUGGCGCACUUAGGCGGCGAUACAUAGCCGCCCGGAGAUGGUGGGCAGCCGCACUGAGACGGGGACACGGCCCAGACGCCUUCGGAAGGGAGCAGUAGGGAAACGGCGGGCAUGGGGGGAACACUGACCGAGAAGCGCCGCGUGAGUAAAGAAGGUUUUCGGGUCGUAAAGGUCGGUUGUAAGUCAGGAACGGGCGUGAGAGUGGAAAGUUCACACUGUGACGGUAGCUGACCAGAAAGGGACGGCUAACUACGUG
rnacentral:rRNA from 1 species